GGGCCGAGUCAUGUUCGAAAUCGCGUGAGGCUGGGUUGGGCCGAGUCAUGUUCGAAGUGGCGUGAGGCCAGGUGGGCCGAGUCACAAUCGAGACCCGUGGGCGCUGUUUCUGUACGCUUUAAGUGAAUUGGUUGCGUAUUUCUAACAGCUCGAGUUUUUGGGAUUAAUGGUUAGCGUCAACAAUCCGACAAGUUGUAUCAGAGCCAGAGCUCACAGAUUUAAUUCCUGCAUGCUGCAAAUGUGCGCAGGUGCUGGAGGGGGGAUUGUUGGCUUAAAUGGGCCAGCAUCCUACCCUGUGGCAGGAGGCCAUAUGGGCCGAGUCAUGUUCGAAAUGGCGUGAGGCUGGGUUGGGCCGAGCCAUGCUCAAAGUGGCGUAAGGCCAGGUGGGCUGAGUCACAAUCGAGAUCCGUGGGCACUGUUUCUGUACGCUUUAAGUGAAUUGGUUGCGUAUUUCUAACAGCUCGAGUUUUUGGGAUUAAUGGUUAGCGUCAACAAUCCGACAAGUUGUAUCAGAGCCAGAGCUCACAGAUUUAAUUCCUGCAUGCUGCAAAUGUGCGCAGGUGCUGGAGGGGGGAUUGUUGGCUUAAAUGGGCCAGCAUCCUACCCUGUGGCGGGAGGCCAUAUGGGCCGAGUCAUGUUCGAAAUCGCGUGAGGCUGGAUUGGGCCGAGUCAUGUUCGAAGUGGCGUGAGGCCAGGUGGGCCGAGUUACAAUCGAGACCCGUGGGCACUGUUUCUGUACGCUUUAAGUGAAUUGGUUGCGUAUUUCUAACAACUCGAGCUUUUGGGAUUAAUGGUUCGCGCCAACGAUCCGACACGUUAUACUUGAUCUAUACUAUU
rnacentral:lncRNA from 1 species